rnacentral:piRNA from 1 species
UGGCUUCAGAUAUGUAGCAGAGAGG